rnacentral:rRNA from 1 species
AGAUGGCGACCGGCGCACGGGUGAGUAACACGUAUCCAACCUGCCGAUAACUCGGGGAUAGCCUUUCGAAAGAAAGAUAAUACCCGAUGGUAUAAUCAGACCGCAUGGUUUGAUUAUUAAAGAAUUUCGGUUAUCGAUGGGGAUGCGUUCCAUUAGGCAGUUGGUGAGGUAACGGCUCACCAAACCUUCGAUGGAUAGGGGUUCUGAGAGGAAGGUCCCCCACAUUGGAACUGAGACACGGUCCAA